GUCUCUGUCGCGCAAUUGGUCAGCGCGUUCGGCUGUUAACCGAAAGGUUGGUGGUUCAAGCCCACCCAGGGACG
rnacentral:tRNA from 1 species